AUGACGACACAUGCACUGCCGGCCGAAAUAUCGGGCCUACUAAGUGCACGCGAUGAGGGGAAAGCGCGCGAGUGGCCAAAACUUUGGCCCAAAAAAGACGCCGACGCGCCGGCCCGCCAUCAGAUAGCGCCGCUGCCCCCAAAUCCUUCGUGUCGUCCACCAGACACAGCCGCCGCCGUCCCCAACCAGACCACCGCCGCCGUCGCCCCCCACCAUCCAAGCCGGCGGCCGCCCUCCACCCAGACCGCUGCCGUCGUCCCCCCUCCCGAACCACUCCAGAGCGGCGCCACCGAGCCGCCACUCCAGACCGCACGCGGUGACCACCACCACCCAUCUCGGGAGCUUCAUCCCCGACCAGGCCUCCUCCCCACAAGCUUCAUCGAAGAACCAAGCGGGGACCCCUCCUCUACGUCCUUUACCCCAGGCAGGGGAGCGUCAACUCCUCGCGAGCAGCUCUGCCUUUCCCUGGAUAGCGCUGACUCCUCUACUUCUUGCUCCAACUGCGAGAAUUUGACAGGGUUCCUCAAAACAACGCUGGUCAUCAAGGAUCAUCCAAGCCUGAAAUUGUGGAACAACCAGGCUAUCUAUCCAGGACAGUAUGAUGGACAGAAUAAGCAUAUGGAUAAUCUGGAAAUUAGAUGGAGUGGUUUCCUUUAUGGUGAGUCGGAGGUGACAGGGGAGUGGAGUUUGUGGGGCGUGCGUUUCGGCCGGCCCCUGGUUGUUCGAUGCCAGAUCUGCGUGGGAUGCCGGGGUGGGUUACUAAAAUGCGGUCUCUACCUUGUGUUGGACAAACUUGAACUCCAGUUCUACCGGAGAUUAGUGAAGAAAAUCCAUAUCAUCCAGAGGGAGAAGGAACCAUCUAAGGCGCAUCAAAUCAAGCUAGAGGUCUCUGCAACCAUUUUAGUCGAGUAG
rnacentral:rRNA from 1 species